GAUGGAAGCUGGGCAGUGGAUUUCAUGAGCCACUGUCUGUAAAUAUCUUCCUUUCCAUUCUUCAUUUUGUUCUCUCUCUCUCUCUCUCUGAAUAGAUAAGCUCUGCAUUUGGUUGCCCAUAUGUGAAACAAAUGCUUUGACAUUUGCAAAUGUCAGUUUAAUAACAAACUCUGGAGGCCCUUGCAUUGACAUCAGCUUGGUGAAGCAUUUCGAAGAAUGAAAAACAACUGUCUCUUUCCAGUGAAUGAAGCUGUAACUUAUGGAUGUGGGUACAGUACAUUAUUGAUUGUCUCCAAAUGAAUUGUCUUUGUUGUGAGAACCAAGCCAAUCCCUGUCCUUUGCCGUAGUACUUCACAGUGAUUAAUCUAGCAAAAGAACACUGUAUAAAGUCCAUUUGUCUUUCCUUGCUGUGUUUUGUUCAGAUUCCAGAAGCAGUCUGAAUGUUCUUUCGCAGCUCUUCAGUUGUUGUUGUUGAUGAUGAUGAUGAUGAUGAUUUGGCUUUCCAUUGGCACUCCCUUUUUCUUUUUGUGCUUCAUUGUCCCAUAACCAAUACAGAUUUAAUGGCAAGAUUACAACUCAAUAGCUAGUUAGACAUACUGAGCAAAAUCAAAUGGGACAAAUUUGAUUUUUGGAGACAUGUGAAGCUCUUGUGCUGCCGAAGCUAAACAAUAAUGUUUCUGAAAGUUGCAUUGAUAGGCGACAGUCGAGGAACUGGUUCAGUGGUCAAAAAGCCACAGUUCCAAAAUGCAACAGGGUUAGACUAUCUUCCCUUGACAGUUUAUUCUAUUUCCCUUAUGUUUCCUUGUUAAUCUCCACAUUAUAUUUGAGCUUUCAAAUGUACAAGCCACUUCUGGAAAAUUAAUGGAAUAUAGCACAAGUUCAGUGCUCAUAUCCAUGUUAUUUGAUUGCAGGAAAAAACCCAACGAUUUCCAGCCCCCUUAAUUUGAAAAAUUGUGGGAGUAAUGUGACAAAAUUUGGGGUGGUAUAGCAGCAUACAGUUCUCUCCUGCUGUUUUCAUGUUGGAACAGAAGCAAACACAUGCAGAAAGGGUGGGAGAGUAGCAACGUUGUGCAAGGUCAUCCGUUGUUGUGUCACACCACACCCACUGGUGUGAAUGAGAAUUUUCACAACAUAGUCCAUAACACAACAGUUACUGCAGUUGAAAAAUGGGACAGAAGCCUUAGCGUUUUAAAAAGGUACACUAACUAGUUCCGCACAUUUGAAUACACCCUCAAGAUAAUGUUAGAAACCGGCACAGAAGCGCUAGUAAUACAACCAGGAAAGCUAAUGCAAUAAACCUCAUGUUUGAAUAUAGUCUUAGGUAGGUUUGUCUUUAAAUGUGACCUGGACCAAAUUUCUCCCCUAUUCUGACUUGCUAUGGGAGGGGAGGGGAGGGGAGGGGUGUGGGCACGUGUUGUGAGCUUCACCCUCACCGCCAUCUCUCCUCCCUGUUCUGUCCAGGAAUGUUUCAGGAGGAGUGGAAAGGGAUGACUGCACCUUUUGUGAAAUUGUUGAUUCACCCUCCCCCCCCCCCCAUUUUCUGAAGUGCCUCCUGGAAACCUGUCAUUCCCACCUUGCAUUAAAGGCUCACUGAAACUCCAUCUGUAGCUGGAACUACUCGUUUCUUUCAGGCAGAGACGUGUUGUUAUGAGUUUGGGUGGGGAGGACCAGCUUUAUGCUUGGGUGCUCUUCUCAUUCCUUUAUCCAGCAUGAAUUCAAUUCCUGGAAGAGCCAGGCUAGCUUCCUGGUGAGGUAAUGGCACUCUUAAGUAUGGGCCACUAAGGUAACAAAGGAGGUAAAAGAGAAGAAGAGUUUUGGAUUUGAUAUCCCACUUUAUCACUACCCAAAGGAGUCUCAAAGCAGCUAACAUUCUCCUUUCCCUUCCUCCCCACAACAAACACUCUCUGAGGUGAGUGGGGCUGAGAGACUUCAGAGAAGUGUGACUAGCCCAAGGUCACCCAGCAGCUGCAUGUGGAAGAGCGGAGACACGAACCCGGUUCCCCAUAUUACGAGUCUAUCGCUCUUAACCACUGCACCACAUUGCCUCUCUGUGUGUAGCUCUGUGCCAGGGGACAAAUAGGUUGGGUUCCCUCCCUCACCUUGCUGGUACUUAGAAAGACAAAGGCCAAGGCAGAGGGUUGAGUUAUGUGAGCUGCAAGCUGGCAAGGCUGAAGGCUGGGCAGCUGAGAGACAGAGCUAUGCCUGAUUUCUGUUGGAAUCCAAGGCUGCGGCUAUGGAGAAGCAAAGCCCUCUUGGGGUGUUAAUGCUGUGAACCCCUCCACCGUGGGCUCAGGUUGUGUAUAUAUAUGUAUAGAUAAACCAUAUAUCCUAAAGACACCACAGUCUCUGCUGUGCCUCAUUCCAAAGGGUGAGAGUAUCGUGCAACAAUAUUUAGAAUGAGAACUCAGGGCAAUGCGAGUGAUUAAUACCGUAUGCAUAUUGGAAGAUGGGAGCCUAAGUAGAAUUGAUGAGAACUUUGCAGUGCAGAGAUCAUUAACAACAGCUUAUUAUAGAGGACGCAGUCUAGUUUCGAUGAUACAUGCAUACUGUCCUCUAACUUGGUGCAGAUUUAAUUUGUGGGGUGCGGGGAAGCAGUGGUGGCAUGAGCAGACAAAUGGUAAUGUAUAACCGUUCUUUGCAAAUGGUUAUUCAAAUGCCAUUUGCCCACAAUAGAAUUGAAAAUUACUUCAAUACCUGCUGGGGGAAAGUGUCGACUAUACUGUUGCCUGCAAAGGAAAAACAACAACAACAAUAGGACUCUCUCUUUAACAUCAUGGGCUUCCUUUGAGCACUACACCUUUUACCAGUACUGAGCUUUCUGUAUUGAUGCUUCCGCAUUGAGUUUUUGGUUUUCGAACAUUUUGGAACUUGAACGGUCUUCCAGAACAGAUUAUGUUUGAAAACCGAGGUACCACUGUAUUUCAUUGGGAGGAUUAAAGCUAUGUUUAUGGACAAAUAGAUGGAAAGAAAAAUAACUAGAUUGACGUUUAACCCUGUAAUUAAUGAAUAUGUGUGUAAGCACAUAUGUAAUUUGUGAAAUUAUAUUUAAAUGCCAAGUGAGGAAUUAUUGUUAAUUCAUGGUGUUUCUUUAUCCCUUCAAAAACGUUCUAUAUCACUCUGCUGAAGUAGGAGAAACAUAUAUAUUGAUAGUGCUCUAAGCUGUCUGUAUGCUACUAGACAAAACAGCAUUUUGUGUGCACAAGAGGGAGGUACCGGUAUUAACAGGUGUGUGUGGUGGAGGAGGAAUCCUAAUAUUUUGCAGAAGCAGCCUGUGUUUUGGAUGACAAGGGGAAAAAAUCUUUAUAAAAAAAUAUCCCUGGGGAAACCCCAGCCACACACACACAAAAUACUUAAUGAGGAAUGAGCAUGCUCAGUGGGCACUGAAUGCUAAGUACACAGUGGUGGAAAACAGUAGAGGGAUGAGAAAUAACAUGGAGUAUCUGAAAUCCCGAUCAGAUGAUACUAUUUGUAACAAUUACUAGCCAUCAUUCUACUGUGGCCAAUUCUGUGAAAUUUAUAAUCGACAAAAUGUGUGGAAGCAUGUGAAAUAAUAGGAAUAAAAGAACAGACUGGGAAGGAUAUCUUUCCCGGUCAGAAUCCAAGCCAGAUUCAGGGAUCCAGGCUGGAAAGGAAUUAUUUCUGGACCAGGACUACCAGAUUCUAGUAGGUUCUAACCUGCAUGGUUGGGAGCAGCUGAAUUUAGUUGAGGGCUCCAGAUGUUAGAGCUACUUGUUCAAUAGCAACAGAAAUGGGAAAAACUUGGUUCAAACAGAUACUGUGUAUGGAAGCUGGUUGUCUAGGACUGGGGGAAAAGAAGACUCCAGCUGCUGCUUCUGCUGCUCCAAAGAUGGCUGUGGCUCAAGGCAGCAUUUGUAAGAAAGGCAGCCUGGCAUCUGGCCUCAUACAUGCACUGUGGCAGUGCCAAGCUGGGGGGUGGGGUGGGGAGAGCUGGACACUCGGCUACUUAAGCCCAUUGCUCAAUUUCCUCUGCCUUCUGCAUUUUUGUGGCACCCACUCUCCAGUCCUGUAUUCAGUGCAUAGGUAAUGCUUACAGUAGUUGCCAUUUUGAAGUCAGGUAGGAUGGGGGGGAGGCUGUCAGCUGAUUGCUCUUGCUGGCUGGAUUUUUGUCUACUUUGCACUGGUUUGGUGACCAGUGCCUUUAGCAGGUAAGGUAAAGGGACCCCUGACCAUUAGGUCCAGUCGCUGACGACUCUGGGGUUGCGGCGUUCAUCUCGCUUUAUUGGCCGAGGGAGCCGGCGUACAGCUUCCAGGUCAUGUGGCCAGCAUGACUAAGCCGCUUCUGGCAAACCAGAGCAGCACACGGAAACGCCGUUUAUCUUCCCGCUGGAGCGAUACCUAUUUAUCUACUUGCACUUUGCUUUCAAACUGCUAGGUUGGCAGGAGCAGGGACUGAGCAACGGGAGCUCACCCCGUCGUGGGAUUCGAACUGCCGACCUUCUGAUCGGCAAGUCCUAGGCUCUGUGGAUUAACCCACAGUGCCACCCGCGUCCCUAGGUUGGCAGGUAGUCACCCCUAAAUAGGUUAGUUGGCCAGAUCCGCAGGAAGUUGUGGGAAGUUAUAGAAUCAUAGAAUCAUAGAAUCAUAGAGUUGGAAGAGACCACAAGGGCCAUCGAGUCCAACCCCCUGCCAAGCAGGAAACACCAUCAGAGCACUCCUGACAUAUGGUUGUCAAGCCUCUGCUUAAAGACCUCCAAAGGAGGAGACUCCACCACACUCCUUGGCAGCAAAUUCCACUGUCGAACAGCUCUUACUGUCAGGAAGUUCUUCCUAAUGUUUAGGUGGAAUCUUCUUUCUUGUAGUUUGGAUCCAUUGCUCCGUGUCCGCUUCUCUGGAGCAGCAGAAAACAACCUUUCUCCCUCCUCUAUGUGACAUCCUUUUAUAUAUUUGAACAUGGCUAUCAUAUCACCCCUUAACCGCCUCUUCUCCAGGCUAAACAUGCCCAGCUCCCUUAGCCGUUCCUCAUAAGGCAUCGUUUCCAGGCCUUUGACCAUUUUGGUUGCCCUCCUCUGGACAUGUUCCAGUUUGUCAGUGUCCUUCUUGAACUGUGGUGCCCAGAACUGGACACAGUACUCCAGGUGAGGUCUGACCAGAGCAGAAUACAGUGGCACUAUUACUUCCCUUGAUCUAGAUGCUAUACUCCUAUUGAUGCAGCCCAGAAUUUCAUUGGCUUUU
rnacentral:lncRNA from 1 species